rnacentral:lncRNA from 1 species
CAACUUUCAUCUUCAAUAGCCCAUGAGAGAAGAGAACCAUAGGCAAUAAGUGGAGGUCCCCGAAUUUUCCAUCACGAAAUCCUAUCAAAACCCUUUUAUUGUCACAAAGAAAGUGCAAAAGCUAUAACACUAACUACAAACAAAGCUAAGUUUUGCAUGGCAAGGCUCGAAGCUUUGGAGUUCCCAUCAACGUCAGCAGCCUUCCUAGACAUUCCCGGUGCCGGUGCCAGAGCUGAAGACCUAGCAGCGAAGACUUGCAAAGGUUGAAGCACCUGAUCGACUCGAUAAACAGCCAGCUGACCAUCGGUAUAAAUGGUACCACUAACACUGGUUUUCAUCAGCCCCGUCUUUAAAACCACUGUGUUUCCCGAAGUGGUGACGUUGAGAGGAAACUCACCGUCGCCGCUAUCUCCGGCUUGUGUUCUCAUAGGGUUGCUAACUGUUUGGAAUUGGGAAAAUGGGAUAUAAUCUGGGACGACGUGAAAUAGCACCAGCUGAACCCUUUGUUCAUCGUUGAGUGAAUUCAAGGCACCAGAUUUGAGGGCGGAGAAAGCCUUAUCAGUGGGGGCAAAAAUGGUCUUCCCAUCAUCUGUAUCUUUGAGCUCGCCAAUGAGACGGUCGGAGACUUGGGUGGAUUUGAGAAGACGAACGAAGACGGAGUAUUGGCCGGC